UCCCUGGUGGCUCAGACGGUAAAGCGUCUGCCUACAAUGCGGGGACCCAGGUUCGAUCCCUGGGUUGGGAA
rnacentral:tRNA from 1 species